GUAGGGUGCGAGCGUUAAUCGGAAUGAUUGGGCGUAAAGGGUGCGCAGGCGGUCUGUUAAGACGGAUGUGAAAGCCCCAGGCUUAACCUGGGAAUAGCAUACGUGACUGGCAGACUAGAAUAUGGCAGAGGGAGGCGGAAUUCCAUGUGUAGCAGUGAAAUGCGUAGAGAUGUGGAGGAACACCGAUGGCGAAGGCAGCCUCCUGGGCCAAUAUUGACGCUCAGGCACGAAAGCGUGGGGAGCAAACAGGAUUAGAUACCCUGGUAGUCCACGCCCUAAACGAUGUCAACUAGUUGUUAGGGAAAUUUUUCCUUAGUAACGUAGCUUACGCGUGAAGUUGACCGCCUGGGGAGUACGGUCGCAAGACUA
rnacentral:rRNA from 1 species